CGAACGGAGAAUUGCUAGCUUGCUAAUAAUUCUCUAGUGGCGCACGGGUGGGUAACACGUGAGUACCUGCCCCCAAGAGUGGGAUAGCCCCGGGAAACUGGGAUUAAUACCGCAUAAAGCAAUAAAGCAGCAAUGCGCUUGGGGAUGGGCUCGCGUCCUAUUAGUUAGUUGGUGAGGUAACGGCUCACCAAGGCGAUGACGGGUAGCCGGUCUGAGAGGAUGUCCGGCCACACUGGAACUGAGACACGGUCCAGACACCUACGGGUGGCAGCAGUCGAGAAUCAUUCACAAUGGGGGAAACCCUGAUGGUGCGACGCCGCGUGGGGGAUAAGGUCUUCGGAUUGUAAACCCCUGUCAUGUGGGACAUUAAAAGAUAGUACCACAAGAGGAAGAGACGGCUAACUCUGUGCCAGCAGCCGCGGUAAUACAGAGGUCUCAAGCGUUGUUCGGAAUCACUGGGCGUAAAGCGUGCGUAGGCGGUUUCGUAAGUCGUGUGUGAAAGGCGGGGGCUCAACCCCCGGACUGCACAUGAUACUGCGAGACUAGAGUAAUGGAGGGGGAACCGGAAUUCUCGGUGUAGCAGUGAAAUGCGUAGAUAUCGAGAGGAACACUCGUGGCGAAGGCGGGUUCCUGGACAUUAACUGACGCUGAGGCACGAAGGCCAGGGGAGCGAAAGGGAUUAGAUACCCCUGUAGUCCUGGCA
rnacentral:rRNA from 1 species